UUCAUUCAUCACCUGUUUCUUCAUUCAACAAAACAUUAUUCACUGUUGAGAAAAUGGCUUCAAAGUCUUUUGUUUUGUUGGGUCUCUUUGCACUUAUUUUCGUCGUGUCAGAAGUUGCCACAGCAUCUGCAUUGCAGUCAGGUAUUUCAAAUAUUUCAUACAGUUCAGUCUAAUUAUUUCAUACAGUUCGUUUCGCUUAUUCAACACACCAACUUAUAUGAAUGGUGGAAUUUAAAUAUAAAAUGUACCAGCCCAGAAUGUCUACGAGGCUAUACCACUCGAACUAAAGUAACAUUAAAUAUAUCACCAAAGUUUUCCAUCCUCUCCAACCUUUGAAAGUUGGUUUGAACUAUGGUCAAUUAUUUGGAUUUUCUCAAGUCCAAAAAACAGAAGUAUGAAGCAAAAAAACAUAUACAUAAACAAUUCGUUUUUUAGAUUCAUUUAUUUUAAAAUAUGUUAAUUGUAAAGUCAAAAGAUUUUUUUUUUAAUAUUUUAUAUUAAUAAGAUUUUAUAUAUUUAGUUUCUUUUAUUUUAUUAUAUUAGGUGUAUUUGGUUUUGAUUAUUGAGUGUAUAUGCAUUUUAGAUGUAAUAUAAAAAAAAUAAUAUUAAAUGUUUCGAAGUGUUAAGAAGAAUUAGAAAAAAGCUUGAUUGUAAAAACAAACAAUACAAUUUUAGGUUGUGUUUAUAUAUAGAAGAUAUAGUAAUUAUUAUUUUAAAAUUUAAUGAACAGUUUAUUUACAUUAGGUUUAUGCAAAAAUUAACUUAUUAUAUUAUCUUAAUAUUUGAAGUGGUCCAACUUAAAAUAUAAUGAAUUUUUUAGUUUAUAAUAUUAUAUCUCAUGUUUAUCCUAAUAAACACAUACGCAUAUAAAGUAAUAUGGAAAAUCUUAUAUUAAGUAUCACCAUGAUCUCAACUAAGAACUGUAAAAUUAACCAGAUAUUUUUUAAUUUUAUAUAAAAUAAACUUUUAAAAUUAUUAUUUGAUAAGAUAGUAAAGGUAUUAGCCCCAUUAUAUUAUAAAUUAUAAUAUAACUCAGAUAAUAAGAUAAUAACUUUGAGAGUUUUUUAUUGAAGCAUAUGUUUAUAUUAACAACUAAAAUUUUACUAAAAAAUUAAAAAGGAGUAAAAGUAUAAUUCGUAGUACUUUUAUAAUGUAGUUCAUACCUAUAUUUGAAUAAGUUUUAAAUUUUCUUGAUUAAUUGCAUAUCAAAAAUUACAUCCACAUAUUAGAACAUAUAUAUUGGAUAUACAAUAUAACCAAACAUUUUAAUCUCGUAUAUUCAUAUUACAGAAUCAAAGAACAUAUUUCAAACAAAUAAAAUGUUAUAUAAAUUUUUAUUUUUAUUUUUUGAUGAAAUUUCAAAUUUAUUGAUUUUUUUUGUCAACAAUUUCAAAUUUAUUGAUAAUCAACAAUGAUUAGGCAUUUACAAAGAUUGAAAAAAGUAGCUAGCUUCUGAACAGUAGGAAAUAAAGAAUGAAAAAAAUUCUAAGUUAGCUAAGAGAGAUCUUGUCUAAAAUUAUUAAUAUUUAAAUUAUUAAUAAUGUUAUAUAAAUUAUUAAUAUUUAGAGUGUAACUGUACAUGACUUUUAAUUUAACUAGAGAUCUGAUUUUAUAUAUACAUAAUAUAUUUAAAAUAAUUCAACGGAACUUUAAAACCGAGAGAGUAAUGCACAUCUGCAAGUGCUAAGACUUUUUUUAAAAUAAUAAUAGGCACAGUGAACUUAGGGAGUGAGGAAACUGUGGAACCUGAUCAAUAUGGUGGUGGUCACGGCGGCCAUGGUGGCUACAACAUAGAGGGAGGUAGCGGAGGUCUCUGCGCCCAUGGCUGCUGCUCCAAAAGAAGUGGCACUGUAUGCUAUAGGUGUUGCUCUUACGCCGGAGAAACUGUUCAGACACAGCCCGGCCACUAAAAGUGGAUCAUGUAUUAACCACCACCAUAUGUACACUUAUCUGUGUUUAUAAGUAUAAUUAACGUGGUGGUGUGCGUCUGUAAUUGAUGGAUGUGCCUUAAAUGUGGCGAAGAACAGGAUGAAUUGGGAAGGAAAACAAUAAGAACAAGGUUCAAAUAUGUAAUGAAUUGGGAAGGCAAACUAUAAGAAUAUGGUUCGAUUAUGUAUGUAUUUGGAUUUGAGUUGUAAUGGUGGUGUU
rnacentral:lncRNA from 1 species